ACAGUGAUGAAGUAGCGGCACCAGUUGUACCAGAGGUACUUGAAACUGAUAAAAAGAAGAAGAAGGCUAGCAAGGCUGUCAAAGAACAAACGGAAAUGAAAAAGUCAAAGAAAUUCGAGAAGACCAAGGACAGUGAUGAAGUAGCGGUAGCAGUUGUACCAGAGGUAGUUGAAAC